CCACCUGCCACUGUGCACAGUUUCUACAAUUUUCAUGAUUACAAAAGCUCUCCACACCAGUGAAUCUCCCUGUUUCUAUACUCCAAGCAAACUAACUCUCAUGAGUACCAGAUGUACAAGCCGGUCUUCUGGGAGGGAGUUGCUGGUGAGGUGUUCUCUGCAAUUUUGGUCGCAAUGUUUCUAUGGCCACAGUAGGUUUCUGAUUCACUCCUGCUCCUUGCUUCCAUAAUGCCCAGUCUGCUGAAUCAAAGAAGGCACGUUCAUGGUCCUUCGAAAUCAAGGGCUUCUUCUUGGGUACAAGUCCUCCAUAUUUCUUGGUCAUGGAUGAUCCCUCAAGCUCUUCAGAAGCGUAAAAAUCUUGGUUUCUGUUGCAAUCUGCCAUCUCAGAUGCCCCUUGCACUAGAGAAAAGCAGAAAUAGAGAGAAGAGUGGACAAAGGAAGGAGGAAUAGAAAGGGGAUGGUUUGGAGUGAAGAAUGAAG
rnacentral:misc_RNA from 1 species